CCGCUCUACUUACGUUAAGGACGGCUUGAACGUUGCGUAAACUCCGUCUCUGAAUAGCCGGGGGGAGGGGGACGUGAAUGCCGCUGCGCCUAUUCUCGAAAUCAGGGUACGUACGAGGCCGAGGCCAGAAAACCGAACCCAAACAGAACAGUGUACGCAAAUUGCGUAGUGCCCAGGAGCUGAGUCGGCUUUUUGCGUGUGGAGACAACGCUCUCCCUAUUCCCGAAAUUCGACUGCGCAAAACGCCAAUCAUGUAACCCACCUACGAACUGUGAGGAAAACCCUGGCCAAGCAGCAUAUUAACUAAAUAUUAUACGGAAGUUUCGUAGCUGUCGCUUGUUCCAUGGUGGGUUUAGCGGGGGUGAUACUGCAGUCCAGUGCACCCUCAGUGAACUGAGUGCACAUCCAGAUAUCUGAAGAUGUCCUGAAUGGAAGUCCACGUUGGUUGGUUCCUGCGAGCCAAGGACCACACCAGAAACCUUUUACACUUCGCUAAGUAGACCAUCCUGGUAGAGGACUUCCUACUGUUGAGUAGGACUUGUUGGACAGCUGCUGAACAAUGCUCUUCUUCAUUAAACCAUGCAGCAGCCACGCCAUGAGGUGCAGGGAGUUGAGUGCGGCAUGGCAAAUGCGGCCGUGGUUCUGAGUAAGCAGGUUGAGAUGGGGAGGAAAUGAUAUGGGAGGCUGAAUCGAUAGCACAAGAAGGUCGGAGAACCAGCACUGUUUCGGCCACACCAGGACUAUGAGGAUAAGCUUGGCCCAAUCUGCUUUGAGCUUGAGGAUGAUCUAUGUAACCUCACAACCUUGCAAUCAGUAUUAGCGUUAGUGGUUUAGCGUUAGUUAGUUCUAGUAGUCCUCCCCCCGUGAUGCCUUCAGUGCAGUUCAAACACUGUCCUUCAUGUGUGGGAGCGAUUCCUAACAGCAAUCCCCAUGCACACUGCCUGCUUUGGAGCUCAAACUCCAGCCACAGGUAGUAAGAAGGAAUGGAGGAGAGUCAGGGCCACGCCACCUGAUAUAGCCAAGGGAGGGGCCACAGUCACUAGAUGCAAGUACCACACCUUUACAGGUACUGCUAGGCAAAAGUCUCUGGGUCCAGUGCAUUGGGCACACACACCUAACUGGAAUAUGUCUGCAUCUACUUGAAGAACUGCAGACACCAAUUGUAAAAAGCACACUCAAUGAGCUUGGACAUGAAAGGAAGGAGGUGUGACACUGUAUGGAAUAUGAGAGACACUUUAUGAUAUUAUUGAUAUCCAUAUUAUAAUCUUACCAGAUAUACCAUGUAAGGUAUCAGUGAAAAUGUUAUGAUUUGCAAAGUAUGAUAAUCUUUUUUAUAUUUGUAUCAUCUUUGUAUUGUAAGUUAUAAAUAUGUAUGGUAUAUUUGUAUUUCAAACUUGUGCUGUGUAUCUGGGUGACACCCCCAGACAGAAAUGCAUCAGCACUGCCUAGCCUGUUCAAUGGCCCAUCAAGGGCAAUCAGUGACAAUGAACCCAUUGAAGGAAGCCAGAGGCUACACCUUAUGAAUCAACAAGACUUGUAGGGGCAUUCCUGUGAACAGAGAACUCUAAGGCUUUUCCAUACCAUGUGUUGUGAAGCUUGUGUUUGGGACAAAGGAUGUACAAGCCACAUGGCAAAAGAUAUGAAAAGGCAGCUGCAUCAUUCUCCAUUUUGUCUUCAAUCCUGCUUCUUACCUCUGGAGUAACUUCUCUACAAACUGAAGCUCUGAACAAAGGACUGAAUGACCUAUCCAAGCUUUGGAUGUGUUCCAGAGGGACUUUCAAGUCAACAAACUCACCAGUACUGCUAAGAAACAGAUAUAUGGAUCUGGAGACUUAUAUAUGUAUCUGAUUGCUUUACUAUUUAACAACUCUCUUCUUGUUCUUGCCUUUUCUUUUCUAAUAAACCUUUAGUUUUAGAUACUAAA